rnacentral:rRNA from 1 species
CAGCCGUAAACUAUGCGCGUUAGGUGUAUCGGUGACCACGAGUUACCGAGGUGCCGAAGGGAAACCGUGAAACGUGCCGCCUGGGAAGUACGGUCGCAAGGCCGAAACUUAAAGGAAUUGGCGGGGGAGCACCACAACGGGUGGAGCCUGCGGUUUAAUUGGACUCAACGCCGGACAACUCACCGGGACGACAGCAAUAUGUAGGCCAGGCUGAAGACCUUGCCUGAAUCGCUGAGAGGAGGUGCAUGGCGUAGACGUCU